rnacentral:rRNA from 1 species
CCUCCUUGUCAAAGCCUGAUCUCGUUGGAUCUCAGAAGCUAAGCAAGGCCGAGCCUGGUUAGUACUGGGAUGGGAAACUGCUGGAAAUUGUAGGU